UUCGGUUUCGCAUUUUUCAAAAUUUCUUUCGGUUUUCUAUUUUUCGUUAUUCAAAAUUUUUAACUUUCUAGGUUUGGAAAAUGUUUCCUAGAAAAAAUAUAAAUCAACUUCCUCAUUCUAAACAGGCGGAAUUGUACCCACAUAGAAGACAAACAGAAUACUAUAAGCAACUUAAUCCACCCAGUACUCAUCAAAGUAAAAUGCCUGAGCAUCCAUUUGAUAUGUUAAAUUCAAGGACUAUAAUUCAAACACUCCCCAUAAACCCAGAUCGCAUUGUACCCGCAUCUAAUUAUCAAACUGAGAUAACCAGAAAUAAUUACUUUGGUUAGAUCUGCUUUAUGUUAUGGACGAGUAAUACUGAAGGGCAUUUAGACACCACCAGAGAUGCUCCUAAAUAUAACAUUUUAAUGCAUGAUUGGAACUAUCCAAGUCGCUCAUAUGUUAAGUUGUGAUGAGAGGUAAAACAGAAACGUCACUAUUAGAGAGAUGCUCUCAUUAAAGUUAGUUUCAUUUUAGUUACGGAAGAAGUUCUUGAAAAUAUUUUAAAGAUAAAAGUGACAAAACCGGCUCUACAACAAAGUCUAGUAAAAUCAUAAUAAAAUAUGAAUUAAAGUCGUCUGACUAUGUCAUAAAUUUUACUGAGUAUUGUAUACAAAUUCAUGACAUCAACAUAUCUUUGCAAGAGUGCAAACUUACUUUUUUAGUAAAUAAAAUGAAUGUUAGAUAAAAGUGUUGUUUUAUUUUAGACAACGUGGACAUGUGAUGGACUAUCUCUCUCUCAUUCUCAUUUCUUGUUAUGGUAUGUCUACAGGCCAAGUUAAUUGUAUUUGAGUACUUUGUGAGAUCAACAUUAUUGAGGUCAUUUUAUAUGCAAUUUGGGAAUUUUGAAGUCUUAAACGGAUCUCAUGUGGUAGUGCGAUUAGAAUUGAGUAGAAAAUAAUAUAAGGAAACAUUUCAUGCAAAUUAAAUAUUUUGAUUAAAU